CUAAUGUCUCAAUGUCUUCUAAACCCACAAUGUAGCCUUCUUUUCCACUCCUAGGGUGGUGUCAAUGCUGGUGUCAUGGUCACUGGCUUUGAGAGCAGCAGGAACUCUAACCUGCCAACUCUUAUUUCAUAAGUGCUGGAAGCGAUCCAGGUGGAUGCAUCCCGGAUGCUAAGGAAUUCCUCGGUCUGAGACAUUUUGUUGGAUUUCUACAAUGUUCAAUCCCUGGAGCCCAUAUGGAAAAGCUGAAGGCAGUGACACACAUCUACAAGUACAGCACUCCUGUGGAGAGGAUGGAGAGACAGAAAUGGAGACAGAACUGCGGAGAAGCUGAUAGAGCAGCUAACACGAAGAAUUAGAACAUCAGAAAAAGAAGGUUUUGCCCAAACAAGGUAGAAGACAAGAACUGACUCCUUAAAGCUAUGUGUCCUGACUUCCACACACAGGCAGUAGCACAAGCAUGCCUAUACAUAUGUGGGCAUGUGUGCACACAUGUGCAUGCAUGUGCACACACGGACAACAAUAAAAAGGUG
rnacentral:lncRNA from 1 species